CCUACGGGUGGCUGCAGUGAGGAAUAUUGGUCAAUGGACGCAAGUCUGAACCAGCCAUGCCGCGUGAAGGACGAAGGCCUUCUGGGUUGUAAACUUCUUUUAUUGGGGAAGAAAAUUACGGUUUCUACUGUAACCGACGGUACCCAAGGAAUCAGCACCGGCUAACUCCGUGCCAGCAGCCGCGGUAAUACGGAGGGUGCAAGCGUUAUCCGGAUUCACUGGGUUUAAAGGGUGUGUAGGCGGGUAUUUAAGUCAGUGGUGAAAUCUCCAGGCUC
rnacentral:rRNA from 1 species